GACGUAGGGUGCGAGCGUUGUCCGGAUUUACUGGGCGUAAAGGGCGCGUAGGCGGCCACCGCAAGUCGACUGUGAAAUCUCCGGGCUUAACCCGGAAAGGUCAGCCGAUACUGCGGGGCUAAAGUGCAGAAGGGGCAACUGGAAUUCUCGGUGUAGCGGUGAAAUGCGUAGAUAUCGAGAGGAACACCUGCGGCGAAGGCGGGUUGCUGGGCUGACACUGACGCUGAAGCGCGAAAGCUAGGGGAGCGAACGGG
rnacentral:rRNA from 1 species